AGCUAUAUUAGGCGGAAACACCGGUUACCGUAUGAUCACUGAAGUUAAACAACGUCGAUCUUGGUCAGUACCUAAAUGGGUGACCGACCGCUGGGGAAUAUCAUGUGCUGUAA